GCAGCUCGCAGGAGCAGUAAUAUCGAUCGAUCCGUCGAGUUCGAGGCUCGACAGGGUCGACUGGGGGUGCUGCAAGUAGAAAAGCUCUCCCAUAAGCAGGCAAGCUGGCUGGCUGGCUGGCUGCCCGGGCACGGACUGUUUCCACUGUCUGUCUGUCCGUCCGUCUCGUCUCGUCUCGUCUCAUUUCGUCUCGUCUGGUCUCGCCGCGUCUAGUCUCGUCUAUCUUUGCCUCUUCGCUCUUCUUCUCGUCUUGUUCUCGUUCAUUGCAUACAGAGACACAUACAACAUACAUGAUUUUGGUGUCGGUCUCGGUAUCAUCGUUUUGAUACACCAUGUAACGCUAUAAUGUACUCGGUGUGACGUGGAAUAACAAGAAAGAACGCACGAUAGGUUCGCAAAGAGGUUCGGUUUGUCGAAUCGUUUUGCUUGAUUGUGUGUUAUCUCGUGUCGUGCCGUGGACGUACGCGCGGUACGGUUCAUCGCUGUGACCUUGAGAAGCAGUGACAGUGCGUGUCUCUGACCUUGGCACAGGGUUCGCCAAGUUCUCCGAUGGCAGCGCGAGCACCGCUGCCAGCCGCGACGACAGCUGAUCGACCACCGGCCAAGUGGAAUCCCAGUGGAGGAUGUGCACCGACUGGAUUGCGUCACCGAGCAUAAUCAGGAGAUAAACAGAAAGAAGUUUCUGAAGAAUGAACAUCGAGGGAAGAAAUUGGUGUAGAAAAAUCGAUGAAACGGAAGAUAUAUAGAGGUUUACCGCUUGGACGAAGCUAUACAUUAACAAUGGACACUAGUGAAUCAAGAACAGAUGCGCCAGUACGAGUUCUCAGACGUUUGCAGAGCAUGAAGAGGAGAAGAUUCGUCUGACUUCGUAGACGCGUUCGGUGCCAGUUUAGAGAAUGGAGGAGUCCUCACCAAGGAUUCGUUCCUAUCUGGAAUGCUGGGACCAGAACGAAGACAAGUACUCGGUGGCGAACAGCCAGGCACCAUUGCAGGCUGGCGAAGAGGAACACCCAGAACGCGGUACAUGGACAGGGAAAUUCGACUUCCUGUUGUCUCUUCUGGGCUACAGCGUCGGCCUUGGCAAUGUCUGGCGAUUUCCAUAUCUGUGCUACUCGAACGGAGGGGGUGCUUUCUUAAUACCGUUUACGAUAAUGCUCAUUAUCGCCGGGCUUCCUCUCAUGUUCAUGGAGCUUUCCUUAGGGCAGUACGCGAGCCUUGGCCCAGUGGCAGCAUACAAACGCUUCUGCCCCUUACUCCGCGGCUUGGGGUAUGGAAUGGUGUUGGUCAGCUCGGUGGUGAUGCUCUACUACAAUUUGAUCAUCGCCUGGACCCUUUAUUACAUCUUCGUCUCCGUGGCCGGAGCUGGUAAACUGCCAUGGAGCAAGUGCGAACCACCAUGGAGCACCGAAGACUGCUUCAUGCCAGAAGCUGCCGAGGCGUGUAUGUCUCAAAACAUGAGCUACUUCAAAACAAGAUGUUUAAAUUCCACUCAGAUGGCCUCCAUGGGCCUGACUAUAGAGAACAUCACUAGUGCCAUUAGAAGACCACCUGCUGAGGAAUAUUUCAACAAUCACGUGUUGGGGAUGAGUAGCGGCAUCGAGGAGACAGGUUCAAUUCGACCCUCGAUGGCAGUGAAUCUCCUGUUGGCUUGGAUUAUCGUCUUCCUCUGUCUGAGCAAAGGUGUUCAAAGCUCGGGAAAGGUUGUAUAUUUCACUGCUCUCUUCCCAUACGUCGUUCUGAUCACUCUUUUCAUUCGAGGGAUUUUACUUCCCGGCGCCGACGAGGGCAUUCUCUUUUAUCUAACGCCCGAUUGGAAAAGGCUAAUGUCCGCGAAAGUGUGGGGCGACGCCGCUGUGCAGAUUUUCUUCGCUUUGAGCCCUGCUUGGGGUGGUUUGAUAACGCUCAGCUCCUACAACAAAUUCACCAACAAUUGUUACAAGGAUUCGUUGAUCGUCGCUGUCAGCAAUAUCGGCACGUCCUUCUUCGCUGGUUUUGUCAUUUUUUCUGUGAUCGGAUUCUUGGCUCACGAGCUUGACGUUCCUGUCGCGUCUGUUGUCGAUCAGGGUGCUGGACUGGCUUUCAUUGUCUAUCCUGAGGUAGUAGCUCGUUUACCAGUUGCACCACUUUGGUCGCUGCUCUUCUUCGUGAUGCUGCUCACUUUGGGUCUCGACUCUCAAUUCGCACUGAUGGAAACUGUUACCACAGCGAUCCUUGAUGCCUUUCCAGCAUUGAGAAAUUACAAAUUAUGGGUUGUCCUGGCAGCAGCUGUAUUCGGUUACGCCGGUGGUAUCAUUUUCACUACCAAUGCUGGUAUGUACUGGUUGCAAUUGAUGGACAAAUACGCAGCGAAUUGGUCGGUGUUAUUGAUCGCCAUAGGCGAAUGUAUCUUGGUCGCUUGGAUCUACGGUGCGGAUCGAUUUCUCGACGACGUGCAGCAGAUGAUCGGACCUCGUAGUCGUCCCUGGAGAUUUUUCUGGACGUGGAUGUGGAAAGUGAUUACACCAGCUACGCUCUUCUUCAUCCUAUUUUUUAAUUGGGUCGAAUACGAACCGCUUACAUACGGUGGCUACGUUUAUCCAAAAUGGGCGGACGUUGUUGGAUGGGUUGUCGGUAUAAUACCAGUAUUGGUCAUCGUUGGCGUGGCUCUCAAUCAACUGAGGGAUCGGCGUCGUCGUCCUGCCUACGACGAGGACGACGAUGAUGACGACGAUCUCGACAACAGGCUGUCGUGGCAAAGACCAGGAAAAGGGAAAACGAAGAAGAGCAACGGGAAGAAUGUUUGGUGGCGCGCGAAGAUGCUUUUACAACCGACUUCUGAUUGGGGUCCUGCGGCCAGAAACCCUUCUACCCCAUCGAGAACGCUCACUCAUACACCGUCGCCAGGCCCACCAGCAGGAUACAAUUCCGUGAGAGACACCAUAGUCCUGGUAAACGGUCAGCCAAUGAUACAACCCUCGGGCACGUCUGGCACCACUCAGAAGCUUCCUGGACCGUCGAUCCUGAAGAAUUCUAGUAAAACCGAUUUGAUCACAUCCCAGCAAGUCUGACACGAUGUUCAUUUUAUCUGUAAAGACGAGUCUGCCCAGAAAUCUAUUGCCAAAGAUACAACAGGCCAAUAACAGAUAGAAGACUGUCGAUGUGACGAAGAUGCCGCGUAAAGAAACUGUGACACGACUCCAGCACGCGCGCUGCGAUGUAAAACCGUUAGGAAAAAUUACGCUACUCCACUGCUUUCGAUUGUACAUACAUAAGGACACGAAGAAUACAAAGAAAAUGAUAAAAAAAAAAAAAUCUCACACACGGACGGUAAAAUAUCAAGAGGAUAACGAGAGGAAUAAUGGAAUUAAAUAAUUGUAACGUAUUCUAGCGAGGAAAGUUACGUAUUUAUCGCUACCUACGCUGAAGCGUCAUUAUACAAAUUAUUAAGAUAUAGCAAUGACACUUCACCUUUUUCAGGUGGAAAUCACUGAACGAUUCAAUUGCUCCCGUGUAAGGUAUCUUAUCUAAGAUAAUGUUCACUUGCACAGCGGAUCAAUUUAGGCGUUCCGUGCGAUUAGGCAUGUUCGAUUUAGCCGUCAAAAUCAAGAGGAGUUCGCGGUUAAUUCCUCCUCGUCGCAAUUCACAUCUAUGUAAUCUCGUAUCACCCGCCAUAAACAAACAAAACACACAAAAAAAAAGAAAAAAAGAAAAAAAAGAGAGAAGAAAAUACAGGCUAAAUUUCUAUUAAUCCACUGGACAAUUUUGUCGCAGAAUAUUUGUUGUUAUCCGACACGUUCAGUCGCCACCAUCUGAUUUUUUGUAAAGCACCAUUUCUAGUUACGCGAGCGUUCGGUAUUUUUUCGAUGUUGACUCGCGAAAUGUUUCAUACCUAAGUACCAGCUACGCUGUACCGUUUAUCGAGAGAAUAAGUGUGAUCGUUCAAGAGCGCAAAUUUCGAGGAAUUGGAAAGUCGAGGAGAUUUAAAAAGGGAAGGAAGCGAAUCUAACUGUAAGUGCUGAGAAAGCGGAAAAAUGACGCGGUCUUAGACAGUAUUAUCUUGCUGAAGCGAGGAUGAUUAGCGCUAUCCUUCUUCCUGCGUUCACCUGUCGAUGUCCUCCAAAAACGAGAGAUCGCAACAAUCGUUAGUUGAUGGGGUAUAGAAUAUUUUUGUUAAAGACGCGAUUGUUGCACUAUUUUAGUCGUUUUAAUCCUUUCAGCGUUGCCACCAUCGUAGCAAUGGAAUUUAAAGUGAGAUUGAAAAUCUCUGGGAAUUUUAAUUACGUAAGAGAAUUACGUACUAAGCGUACGAUAGUGUAAGUGAUUCAGAUAUCUAUUUAUGCUUUUGGUUUACUUCUUUCGAUAUCUCCAACGACUGAUAAACAUGACAUUUUAUCGAAGCUGAAUACUCUUAUUUCCAUUUUCACAGACUGAAAAUAGAGAAGAAUAAUUCAUAACUAUGAUGAUCUAUUUUAUUGACUUUUUUUAAAUUAGAAAUUAUCGUUACCGAUAGCGAUGAUAGUAAGAUUGAAGCUUUUACAAAGAGUCAAUAAAUAUCGUGGUUCAAUGCUUAAAGGAUUAAAUUGUUGA